rnacentral:rRNA from 2 species
AAUCUGCCUGGUAGUGGGGGACAACGUUUCAAAAGGAACGCUAAUACCGCAUACGUCCUACGGGAGAAAGUGGGGGAUCUUCGGACCUCACGCUAUCAGAUGAGCCUAGGUCGGAUUAGCUAGUUGGUGAGGUAAAGGCUCACCAAGGCGACGAUCCGUAACUGGUCUGAGAGGAUGAUCAGUCACACUGGAACUGAGACACGGUCCAGACUCCUACGGGAGGCAGCAGUGGGGAAUAUUGGACAAUGGGCGAAAGCCUGAUCCAGCCAUGCCGCGUGUGUGAAGAAGGUCUUCGGAUUGUAAAGCACUUUAAGUUGGGAGGAAGGGCAGUAAGUUAAUACCUUGCUGUUUUGACGUUACCAACAGAAUAAGCACCGGCUAACUUCGUGCCAGCAGCCGCGGUAAUACGAAGGGUGCAAGCGUUAAUCGGAAUUACUGGGCGUAAAGCGCGCGUAGGUGGUUCGUUAAGUUGGAUGUGAAAGCCCCGGGCUCAACCUGGGAACUGCAUCCAAAACUGGCGAGCUAGAGUAUGGCAGAGGGUGGUGGAAUUUCCUGUGUAGCGGUGAAAUGCGUAGAUAUAGGAAGGAACACCAGUGGCGAAGGCGACCACCUGGGCUAAUACUGACACUGAGGUGCGAAAGCGUGGGGAGC